CAAAAACAUAGCUUAUUGAUUUUUUAUAAUAAGUUUUUUCUGCCCGGUGGUGUUUUUAACGGCCGCGGUAUUUUGACCGUGCAAAGGUAGCAUAAUCAUUUGUCUUUUAAUUGGGGGCUAGUAUGAAAGAAAGUUUGAAGCUUUAACUGUCUCUUUUUUAUUUUUGUAAUUUGCUGUUUUUGUGAAGAAGCAAAAGUUCUCAAAAAAGACAAGAAGACCCUAUUAAGCUUUUAUCUUUUUGUUUUUAUUCGUUUGAAUAUAAAAACAAAAAGAUUUGGUUGGGGUGACUAAAGAAGAAAAAUUUAUCUUCUUUUUUAGAAAUAACUAGUUGUUUAAUGAAGACCCAAAAUUUUUUGGUUGUACGAAUUAGUUACUAUAGGGAUAACAGCGUUAUCUUUUCAUAAAGUUCUUAUUGAAGAAAAGGAUUGCGACCUCGAUGUUGACUUAUUUUAUCCUAUUAAGGUGUAGAAGCUGUGAGGGUUAGUCUGUUCGACUAUUAAAAAAGU
rnacentral:rRNA from 1 species